rnacentral:rRNA from 1 species
UGGAUCCAGACUUUGAUCCUGGCUCAGGAUGAACGCUAGCUACAGGCUUAACACAUGCAAGUCGAGGGGAAACGACAUCGAAAGCUUGCUUUUGAUGGGCGUCGACCGGCGCACGGGUGAGUAACGCGUAUCCAACCUGCCCACCACUUGGGGAUAACCUUGCGAAAGUAAGACUAAUACCCAAUGAUAUCUCUAGAAGACAUCUGAAGGAGAUUAAAGAUUUAUCGGUGAUGGAUGGGGAUGCGUCUGAUUAGCUUGUUGGCGGGGUAACGGCCCACCAAGGCAACGAUCAGUAGGGGUUCUGAGAGGAAGGUCCCCCACAUUGGAACUGAGACACGGUCCAAACUCCUACGGGAGGCAGCAGUGAGGAAUAUUGGUCAAUGGACGAGAGUCUGAACCAGCCAAGUAGCGUGCAGGAUGACGGCCCUAUGGGUUGUAAACUGCUUUUAUAAGGGAAUAAAGUGAGUCUCGUGAGACUUUUUGCAUGUACCUUAUGAAUAAGGACCGGCUAAUUCCGUGCCAGCAGCCGCGGUAAUACGGAAGGUCCGGGCGUUAUCCGGAUUUAUUGGGUUUAAAGGGAGCGUAGGCCGGAGAUUAAGCGUGUUGUGAAAUGUAGACGCUCAACGUCUGCACUGCAGCGCGAACUGGUUUCCUUGAGUACGCACAAAGUGGGCGGAAUUCGUGGUGUAGCGGUGAAAUGCUUAGAUAUCACGAAGAACUCCGAUUGCGAAGGCAGCUCACUGGAGCGCAACUGACGCUGAAGCUCGAAAGUGCGGGUAUCGAACAGGAUUAGAUACCCUGGUAGUCCGCACGGUAAACGAUGGAUGCCCGCUGUUGGUCUGAAUAGGUCAGCGGCCAAGCGAAAGCAUUAAGCAUCCCACCUGGGGAGUACGCCGGCAACGGUGCAACUCAAAGGAAUUGACGGA